rnacentral:lncRNA from 1 species
AUGGUUGUGUUAUUCAUCUCUGUUGUACAGAUGAAGAGACUGAGGCUGAAAGAGCACAGGAAACUUGCCCAGGCCACUGUGUGGAAGAGCUCAUCUGAUUCCAAACCCACACCUAUCCGCAUGUACCAUCCUGCCGCUUUGCACCCAGCCCCAUACUCUGCAGACAUGGGGAUGAUGGUCCUUACCCUGUUGCUGUGCAUAGGUGGUGUGAAGGUUAAGAAUUAUUUUGUAAAUUGCAAAAAAUAUACCAGCACAUAUCUGUGGAGUAUGGUUAUUAUCAAUAAAAUUAUUGAUUCCAGAUAGAAAAAUAAUAUUGAUAAAUGAAGUAAGCUUUAUUUUUAUAAAACAUAAAUGCUUAGGUUUAUUUGUUUUUUUAUUAGAU